AUAGUGACUCGCCAUACAUGUAUCUCUUCGGAAUAAUUCCUAUUUAAUACUUGGCUAUACUUACAAGGGGAUUGCCACUUGAUGAAAGCCUUUGCAACACCAAAAAUUUAGCCUUGAAAGAACCCAUUCGAAACAUUCUUGCAGAUGCUGAAGACAUGAAAUCCUAUUAUAUCUCUGAAAGUGUUGUUAUCCCCUCUUCCAUAUUGCUGCAAAGCCUUUUCUACUUGACUUAUAAAUGACUGUGUCUUUAUUAGUACUAAUCAACAUUAAAUUCGUGAUUACAAUGU